UCUGCGCAAAAGAAAGAAUGGCUCGAUACAAAUUAGUCCAAUCUGACACUAUAGGUUGUCACUCAAGGAAAAAGAGGCAGGAGAUGCUUCUCGCCUUAAUUUUCUUUUUUCCGUCCUGCACAGGGCGGCUCACACCCAUCCAUCUC
ensembl:ncRNA C16E9.9 ncRNA